AUCGAGGCGCCGCGGUGAUAGCCGGCCGGGCGCCGGCGGGAAUGAUCGCCCGCAGCGGGAAGUCCCGCAAAGAUCCGGGCUUAAGCUCGACAGAAUUCGAAGCAGCGCACUCCUCCUCCCAUCGCCGCUUCGAUGGAUUGGCAACACUCCUCCUCCCGGUUGCCAAUCGCCUUUAUGACGCCCGCCGGUCCUCCUCCCCCGACGGGCGUCAUUUUC
rnacentral:sRNA from 1 species